rnacentral:rRNA from 1 species
AUUGAACGCUGGCGGCAGGCUUAACACAUGCAAGUCGAACGGUAACAUAAAGAAGCUUGCUUCUUUGAUGACGAGUGGCGGACGGGUGAGUAAUGCUUGGGAAUCUAGCUUAUGGAGGGGGAUAACUACGGGAAACUGUAGCUAAUACCGCGUAGAAUCGGAAGAUGAAAGUGUGGGACCUUCGGGCCACAUGCCAUAGGAUGAGCCCAAGUGGGAUUAGGUAGUUGGUGAGGUAAAGGCUCACCAAGCCGACGAUCUCUAGCUGGUCUGAGAGGAUGACCAGCCACACUGGGACUGAGACACGGCCCAGACUCCUACGGGAGGCAGCAGUGGGGAAUAUUGCGCAAUGGGGGCAACCCUGACGCAGCCAUGCCGCGUGAAUGAAGAAGGCCUUCGGGUUGUAAAGUUCUUUCGGUAGCGAGGAAGGCACUUAGUUUAAUAGACUAGGUGAUUGACGUUAACUACAGAAGAAGCACCGGCUAC